rnacentral:rRNA from 1 species
CAGUCGCCGCGGUAAUACGGAGGAUCCAAGCGUUAUCCGGAUUUAUUGGGUUUAAAGGGUGCGUAGGCGGCUUAUUAAGUCAGGGGUGAAAGGCGGUAGCUUAACUAUCGGAGUGCCCUUGAUACUGAUGAGCUUGAAUGCAGCUGAGGUAGGCGGAAUGUGACAAGUAGCGGUGAAAUGCAUAGAUAUGUCACAGAACACCGAUUGCGAAGGCAGCUUACUAAAGUGCGAUUGACGCUGAGGCACGAAAGCGUGGGGAUCAAACAGGAUUAGAUACCCCCGUAGUCCCUGUCUCUUAUAC